CGUAAAGGGCAAUGUGUUUUUUGUCCUGACUUGUCAGGAGCAGCUGACUUCUUUGUUCUCCUCCAGUUUCAUGACCCCCAACCCCCUUCUUUCAUAAUGGCUCCUCAAAAAAAAAAAAGUGAUAGUAUGAGAUCUCCUUCCACACCCUUGUAGCUUCCAUUGUCUUCGAGCUGCAACCAGCUGUUGAGUUGCCCAUCACUGUAAACAUUCUAAAAUCUGACUUUUCUGGCUUUUACAUGCACAUGUGGCAUAUUUGUCUUUAUUUUCUCGAGAGAAAUUGACAAGGGAGGGCUUCCACAAUGGCUUCAAAUGUUGUCACCUUCAAAAUCUGCAAUUGCAAACUGCUUUGUCUUUGGAAUGAACAUUUUUUUGAAUUGAGAAGGCUUUCUGGAUAUCAUUAUCAUAUUUGAGCAAAGCACUUGCUAAACAACAAUAAAUGACAACCCAACCUAAUGAAAUAUAAAUGUGUGAACAUGCAAUCGCAUCCGGUUUAAACUUGGUUUGACAUUGAUCCGAUCCUACAUACACAUCGCAAAUGGAAGAAAGAAUCAAAUCAAUCAAAUAAUAAAUCACAAGCUGUAAAUACUGUAUAUGUUCACAUAGACAAACUACUCUGGAUAAAAACACAACCUCCCUGGGUGAGGUAAGAAUACAAAUCAAACAAUAUUUAAUAAAUGCAAAGCAAAGCUUAUUCCUUGAUGACAUCAAUGUCACUUACAAGUAUGAUGCAUUUAUUUGAAUGAUUAAUUUUCUACUUUGCUUUCGAUCUGUUUGUUGCUUUCAGUGAUGGUACAGUAGUGACGUGCUUCAAAUCAUGUAAAUGCUUCAUUCAGUCAUCAAGACAAUUGGCUUCUUUCAAUAGGAAGAAUCUUCUCUACAGCAGCAGGCGGGAUUAUUAGCUGCGAGCAGCAGCAUGACGCACAUUGAGUGCGACAGGAGGCCUCUACCCAGGCCUGCCGCCCAUUGAGUCUCAGGGCCUUCAACCUGUUGCCUGGCUUUUGUGAUGCCGCAGAAUGGGUGAACUUUAGUGCAUGGUGUACUGCUGUCAUGAUUGACAUAAAGAUCUAAUGAUUGCAUGAACAGUGACUGAAAAGCCGGCAAUGAUGGUGAGCAUGAAGGAAUGUGAAAGAAUGCAUGGUGAAUGGAUAAUGUUUUGUGAGACGUGCAGUAUGUAAGACAUUUGGGUCAGUGGCCAUAGUUCACUUAACCUGCUCAACUUAUGAAAACAUCUUUAGGGCCGCUUACAUGAGACUGAACGCAUAAAAAUGACAUUUUGGAGAGCUGUUGUCAAUCUUAUGUAAACACUAAAAUACAAAUCUGUUCUACAACUGAGCACAUUGUUGCGUUCAUUUAUGAAUGGCGAACACAGGGUUGUUGUUCUAGACCUUAAUGGGAUGGAUGGACGUUAAAUUCCAGUUGGAUGCUUUUUCGGGAUCAGAAAAAAACGGACGUGCUGUCAGAAAAAGGACGUUUGGUGGCAUUUUAUUACAUGAAGAAUCAGUAUUGUUUUGUGGCAACGUACUAACUUGUUCGACUCAAGCUCCCUUCCCCUUGGUCCAUCAUAAAGCUGGGAGUAUGUUAAACUGCUCAGGCGAUGUCGUCACUUUCUUUCUGUCAUUGCCUCUGCAAUUCCACUGAUGCACAAUUGAAAAUAGUCCACCUAUUACGGAGAGUAACGCAAGAGGAGUCUUCUUGAUAACAAAGGAGCGGUGUGAGUUAUGGCCACAAGGGCCGUGACUCAUCACUUAAUGGUGGCUGAACGCUUGGUACUUGGAGCUUAAUGGUGGCUGAACGCUUGGUACUUGGAGGAUGCCAUCUAAAACACAUCCUUACAAAGACUGCACACCAGGCUGUUAAUCACAGGAUUGACAACAUAAAUGGUUGAAAAGGAUUUGCGGCUAUUCUUUUAGUCAAGUUAUACAAUUGCAUAGAGCCUAGUUUCACACCUUUUUUCUUGCAGUACAUCUCAACUGUGACAAUCCUGAUGUGACAAACUAAAGUGUGGACCAGUCAUUCUCCGUGUGGUACAUUGACUCCCUUUUGAAAAAAGAAUCACUGCCUAAGUACAGUUCAGUUGUAUUUAAAGUGGCACUAAGCAGGCCCGAAAAAUGUCAUGUAAAUUCGACACACCACAGAGAAGAGUAAUGGUAACAAGCCUACCAAAUUUGAAUGAAUUAAAAAAUAAACAAACAAACAAAAAAUAGCUAAGUAUAUAAAAGUAGGUUUCAAAACUUGAAUAGUAAGGGCCACCUCUCAGCUCUCAAAUGGUGUGGGGUUAGAUAGCUUAUACAAUGUAAAAUCACACUAGCAGGCUCAACUUAAAAAUUGAAUGGUUAUUGUGGACUAUAAUCAUAAAAAUAAGCACACGUCAACGUAACUUUGUACUUAUAUAGGAGGGAAGGAACUCGCAUUAGAAAGUAUACGCCCCAGCCACGUGACGCCACAGGUUAAUGAUUAUUUGCUAAAAACAAUAUC